GAGAAGAACGCAGCGAAAUGCGAUAAGUAAUGUGAAUUGCAGAAUUCAGUGAAUCAUCGAAUCUUUGAACGCACAUUGCGCCCGCCAGUAUUCUGGCGGGCAUGCCUGUCCGAGCGUCAUUUCAACCCUCGAACCCCUCCGGGGGGUCGGCGUUGGGGAUCGGCCCUGCCUCUUGGCGGUGGCCGUCUCCGAAAUACAGUGGCGGUCUCGCCGCAGCCUCUCCUGCGCAGUAGUUUGCACACUCGCAUCGGGAGCGCGGCGCGUCCACAGCCGUUAAACACCCAACUUCUGAAAUGUUGACCUCGGAUCAGGUAGGAAUACCCGCUGAACUUAAGCAUAUCAUAAGCGGAGGA
rnacentral:misc_RNA from 1 species